rnacentral:rRNA from 1 species
ACAUGCAAGUCGAACGAGAGGCCAUUGAUUUAAUGAAAUGGAGUGCUGCACAAGCUGGAUGUUAUCUGAUUUGGAUUUCCCUCUAGUGGCAAACGGGUGAGUAACACGUGGGUUACCUACCCUCAAGUUGGGGAUAUCAUCUGGAAACGGAUAGUAAUACCGAAUGUGAUCUACGGAUUAAAGGAGCCUUUAAAGCUUCGCUUGAGGAUGGGCCUGCGGUGCAUUAGCUAGUUGGUGAGAUAAUAGCCCACCAAGGCGACGAUGCAUAGCCGAACUGAGAGGUUGAUCGGCCACACUGGGACUGAGGCACGGCCCAGACUCCUACGGGAGACAGCAGUUAGGAAUAUUCGUCAAUGGGGGAAACCCUGAACGAGCAAUGCCGCGUGAACGAAUGAAGGCCCUUCGGGUUGUAAAGUUCUGUUGUUUGGAAAGAAUACUAAGUGUAGGAAAUGACACUUAGCUGACGGUACCAUUCAAGAAAGCCACGGCUAACUACGUGCCAGCAGCUGC